GACGAACGCUGGCGGCGUGCUUAACACAUGCAAGUCGAACGGUAAGGCCCUUCGGGGUACACGAGUGGCGAACGGGUGAGUAACACGUGGGUGAUCUGCCCUGCACUUCGGGAUAAGCCUGGGAAACUGGGUCUAAUACCGGAUAGGACCACUGCCUGCAUGGGUGGUGGUGGAAAGCUUUUGCGGUGUGGGAUGGGCCCGCGGCCUAUCAGCUUGUUGGUGGGGUGAUGGCCUACCAAGGCGACGACGGGUAGCCGGCCUGAGAGGGUGACCGGCGAGACUGGGGCUGGGAUAGUGCCCAGGCUCAUACGGGAGGCAGCAGUGGGGAAUGUUGCACAAUGGGCGCGAGCCUGAAGCAGCGACGCCGCGUGAGGGAUGACGGCCUUCGGGUUGUAAACCACUUUCAGCACCGACGAAGCGCAAGUGACGGUAGGUGCAGAAGAAGGACCGGCCAACUACGUGCCAGCCGCCGCCGUAA
rnacentral:rRNA from 1 species